GUUUUGGACAGCUGAGGCCCAGAGGAAGCUAGGCGGCUGACACGGGAGGUCUCGGCCGCUGCAGAAGGCAGAGCAGCCACGCCACGAAGGAACGACUUCCUGAAGGGAGGAAAUCCCAGCGGCACCAGCCAGAGAAAUGGUCCCUUGGGUCCAGUUUGAUGGGGUGGAAGGUGGAGAUGGAUGACAGGUCUCACCACAAGGUGAGGAGAUGCUGGGACCACAGACGGAAAGAAGCCAGACCCUUGCAGGAAUUUAUGGAGUUAAUUUUCCUACCAACCGGGAUUGUUCGCCUUGGGAUGACCAUGUGGAUGCAGAAUUUCUGUCUUCUUUGGGACCUCUUUGAUAAAACAGUAUUCAAUGAAGACUAAUACUGACGGCCGGACAUUCCAUCAAACUUCCCCCAAGCAGAUGCAUCCCACCCGUAAUCAAGACUGACAUCCUCUGCCAUCAUUCCGGGAGACGCUUCCAGUCCCAAAGUGCAGAAUGAGAAAGGAAAAUUUGCACAGAGCCUUCCUUCCCGGACCCCACGCGUCGCUGUAUUGAGUCCAACAGCAUCCGCCCCUGGGGCUGCGAU